rnacentral:rRNA from 1 species
GACGAACGCUGGCGGCGUGCUUAACACAUGCAAGUCGAACGGAAAGGCCCAGCUUGCUGGGUGCUCGAGUGGCGAACGGGUGAGUAACACGUGGGUGAUCUGCCCCUAACUUCGGGAUAAGCUUGGGAAACUGGGUCUAAUACCGGAUAGGACAAUCGUUUAGUGUCGGUUGUGGAAAGUUUUUUCGGUUAGGGAUGAGCCCGCGGCCUAUCAGCUUGUUGGUGGGGUAAUGGCCUACCAAGGCGUCGACGGGUAGCCGGCCUGAGAGGGUGGACGGCCACAUUGGGACUGAGAUACGGGCCAGACUCCUACGGGAGGCAGCAGUGGGGAAUAUUGCAACAUGGGCGCAAGCCUGAUGCAGCGACGCCGCGUGGGGGAUGACGGCCUUCGGGUUGUAAACCUCUUUCGACAGGGACGAAGCUUUGGUGACGGUACCUGUAUAAGAAGCACCGGCUAACUACGUG